AACUUAUCAAGAGCGACGGAGGGAUCUGGCCCUAUGAAGUCCGGCAACCUGCAGCGAGCAGCAAGGUGCCAAUUCCAGCAAAAUGGGUACCAUUUUGGAAGAUAAGCG
rfam:Bacillus coagulans 36D1, complete genome.